AACGAACGCUGGCGGCAUGCCUAACACAUGCAAGUCGAACGAGACCUUCGGGUCUAGUGGCGCACGGGUGCGUAACGCGUGGGAAUCUACCCUUGGGUUCGGAAUAACUCAGAGAAAUUUGAGCUAAUACCGGAUGAUGUCGCAAGACCAAAGAUUUAUCGCCCAAGGAUGAGCCCGCGUAGGAUUAGCUUGUUGGUGAGGUAAAAGCUCACCAAGGCGACGAUCCUUAGCUGGUCUGAGAGGAUGAUCAGCCACACUGGGACUGAGACACGGCCCAGACUCCUACGGGAGGCAGCAGUGGGGAAUAUUGGACAAUGGGCGAAAGCCUGAUCCAGCAAUGCCGCGUGAGUGAUGAAGGCCUUAGGGUUGUAAAGCUCUUUUACCCGGGAUGAUAAUGACAGUACGGGUGGAAGAAGCCCCGGCUAACUUCGUGCCAGCAGCCGCGGUAAU
rnacentral:rRNA from 1 species